AUUGAACGCUGGCGGCAUGCCUUACACAUGCAAGUCGAACGGAUUGAAGGGGCUUGCUCCUUCAGUUAGUGGCGAACGGGUGAGUAAAGCAUCGGAACGUACCCAGUCGUGGGGGAUCACGUAGCGAAAGUUACGCUAAUACCGCAUACGAUCUGAGGAUGAAAGCGGGGGAUCGCAAGACCUCGCGCGAUUGGAGCGGCCGAUGUCGGAUUAGCUAGUUGGUGAGGUAAAGGCUCACCAAGGCGACGAUCCGUAGCUGGUCUGAGAGGAUGAUCAGCCACACUGGAACUGAGACACGGUCCAGACUCCUACGGGAGGCAGCAGUGGGGAAUUUUGGACAGUGGGGGAAACCCUGAUCCAGCCAUGCCGCGUGAGUGAAGAAGGCCUUCGGGUUGUAAAGCUCUUUCAGUCGGAAAGAAAAGGCUCCGGAUAAUACCUGGAGUUGAUGACGGUACCGACAGAAGAAGCACCGGCUAACUACGUGCCAGCAGCCGCCGUAA
rnacentral:rRNA from 1 species